UACGAAGGGGGCUAGCGUUGCUCGGAAUCACUGGGCGUAAAGCGCACGUAGGCGGCUUCUUAAGUCAGGGGUGAAAUCCUGGAGCUCAACUCCAGAACUGCCUUUGAUACUGAGGAGCUUGAGUCCGGGAGAGGUGAGUGGAACUGCGAGUGUAGAGGUGUAAUUCGUAGAUAUUCGCAAGAACACCAGUGGCGAAGGCGGCUCACUGGCCCGGUACUGACGCUGAGGUGCGAAAGCGUGGGGAGCAAACAGG
rnacentral:rRNA from 1 species